GGCGCCAAGUCCACCUUACCUAAUUCCAGCCUCUCAUGUACACCAUGCCGUUGGAGAAAGGGAACUCUGAGGUUUUCCGACAGCGGGAAGCGCGCGCGGCUCGGUUGGCCAACGAGAUCGAGGGCAGCGUGCAGUACCGCCGGCGAGUUUCUCUGGAGAACGACGAGGGCCGCAGCGAAGAAGACAAA